UUCCCUGGAAACUUUGUUGCAAAGAAAUUCUGGACCUGGAGAAGAUGCCUCAGCAGUACAGAGUAUGGUGAUAGCUCCUUCCCCUUACUGUGACCAAGAAGCUAUGCCCAGGCAAAGCCAGUAGUGUGGUCUCCUGCUGGAAGCCUCGCUGAGAAUCUAGUACGUCCAAAAACAGCAAAGCAAAGACUGACUCAGAAGAAAUAAUGAAAUAUGUCUCACGUUUAUAUCAUAUAUGGAUGGAAAAGUUAUGAGCCACCCACAGAAGAGAUGAAUUGCAUGAGAAACAGAUAAAAUAGAUUCCGUUCUCCAUGCCGGCAGUUCAGAAAAUUCAGUGGAACCUUAUUAUCCUGGACAUGACUAAUGCAAAAGUUGUGGGUAUCUGAAACCUCAUCUAACCAGCUGCUCUCUG